rnacentral:piRNA from 1 species
UAGAAUUACUGAAUAAAAUGGGGCAG